CCUACGGGUGGUAGCAGUGAGGAAUAUUGGUCAAUGGACGCGAGUCUGAACCAGCCAAGCCGCGUGAAGGAUGACUGCCCUAUGGGUUGUAAACUUCUUUUAUAUGGGAAUAAAAUGUUCCACGUGUGGGAUUUUGUAUGUACCAUAUGAAUAAGGAUCGGCUAACUCCGUGCCAGCAGCCGCGGUAAUACGGAGGAUCCGAGCGUUAUCCGGAUUUAUUGGGUUUAAAGGGAGCGUAGGCGGUUUGUUAAGUCAGUGGUGAAAGUUUGGGGCUCAACCGUGAAAUUGCCGUUGAAACUGGUAGUCUUGAGUACAGUAGAGGUAGGCGGAAUUCGUGGUGUAGCGGUGAAAUGCUUAGAUAUCACAAAGAACUCCGAUUGCGAAGGCAGCUCACUAGACUGCAACUGACAUUGAGGCACGAAAGUGUGGGUAGCAAACAGGAUUAGAUACCCUAGUAGUC
rnacentral:rRNA from 1 species